CUGGGACCCUAAUAAAAGGCAAAUGUUUUAUUAUAAUUCUUACCACUAAACAAUGUGAAGUAAUAUAAGCUGGCUAUUUCAAUAAAUCCCUUUAAAUAAUGUUCUUACAGUCUUAUCUUAAAUUCCCCCGAUAGGAAACAAAAGUUGUAGGUAAGGUAUAACACAUAAAAAUUGUGUCCCUGAGGAAUUGAUAAUCUGCACGUAGCUUUAGUUAACCAGAAAAGCUUGAUUUUACUAAGGCAUCCUGUGGGUAAACUUGAGUAUGAAAAAAACUGCAGAUACAUUUCAGUAAUACAUUUUUGGGUACUCUUCACUUUUGAAAAGGUAUAAUGAAGUGGCAGUUGUGAUUUUUAUUUUG
rnacentral:lncRNA from 1 species